rnacentral:lncRNA from 1 species
GAUCCGUCCGCCUCGGCCUCCCAAAGUGCUGGGAUUACAGGCGUAAGCCACCGCUCCCGGUCAAAAAUUCUCCUUUAUUCUUUGAGAGGGACAUAACACUAAUAAUCCAGAACCUAGUGUAUAUCCGUUAGUUUGCUUCACCUCAUCUUCUUAAAAGUCCUGUAUUAAAAACCAAAACCUCUAGCUUUUAUAUCUGUAUUGGUAGAGGACAGAUUUGGGGUGAAGAUUCUGGUAUCCAAAAUUACGUGAGCAAUUUAACAAAAAGACAACAAAAACAAUAAGCAAUUUAAUUUCAAUCUCAGUAGAAUUCAGAGAAAGGCAAUUAACAAAUGUCAGUUUUCUUUUUUUGGGGGGGUGGGGGGGGACAGGGUUUCACUUGUUGCCCAGGCUGGAGUGCAGUGGCGUGAUCUUGGCUUACUACAGCCUCAAACUCCUGGACUCAAGCAAUGCUCCCAGUUCAGCCUCCUGGGUAGCUGGGACUACAGGUGUGCACCAUCACUCUGAGAGGAGUUAGCUAGCUUUCCUUAGGUAGACAGCAAGGGAAGGGUCCCCAAAGAGCCCCCAACCCACGGGUCAGUGCCUCAUCCCCACAGAACAGAGAAAGCAGCCUGGGGAUAAAAAUCAAGCUGCAGGCACCGAUAAGGGAAGUAGCACAGGGUGGUGGUGUGCCUGGAGACAAGCCCGCGGCUGCACAGAUCCGAGAACCUCCAGCCCACUUAGAUAAAAACUUGCACAAACCUCCAGCUCACUCAGAUAAGGGAACAAGACCUGACAUAGAAAUGUCUUUGUCUUUUGUAUAAUCAGCAGGUUCCCGGGAAAAAGUUUCUUCUCCUUUCGUGGGCAUUAAUACUGUGGGCUCCGACGACUCCGAUGGGCACUUUCCUUUCCUCUUUCGACUGUGAGCCCGGCCUCUAAGAAUUACUUCAGCACGAUUGGUCCCCGGGCCAAGCUUUCACUUCAGCUCCUGAUAGGUCCCGGGCCAAGCUGAGUGGUCUCAAUGAAUCAUCAAUUCAGCUCCUGAUUGGUCCCGGGCCAAGCUGAAUCUAGCUUUCUCCAAGACAGCUCACAGACUAAGCAAAUUCCUUCCCCUUCCCAGUCCGCAAAAACCCCCGACCCCAACCUCAUAGUGGGCAACCCGUUCAGGCCCCCACUCUCCGCUGCGGAGAGCUUUUUUUUUUUUUUUUGAGACGGAAUUUUGCUCUUGUUGCCCAGGCUGAAGUGCAACGGCGCGAUCCUCAACUCACCGCAACGUCUGCCUCCCGGCUUCAAGCGAUUCUCCUGCCUCAGCCUCCCAAGUAGCUGGGACUACAGGCGUGUGCCACCACGCCCAGUUAAUUUUGUAUUUUUAGUAAAGACAGGGUUUCUCCAUGUUGGUCAGGCUGGUCUUGAACUCCGGACCUCGGCCUCCCAAAGUGCUGGGAUUACAGGUGUGAGCCACCGAAUCCAGCCGAGAGCUUUCUUGUUUUGCUUACUAAACUUUUGCUCCAACCUCACCCUUGUGUUCGUGCUCUGUGACACAAAGAACUCCGGAUACUAUCUCAGACAACCAAAGACUGCUACAUUUUGGCGCACUGGUGAGACUACAACACCUUGCUAAUUUUUGUAUUUUUGUAGAAACAGGUUUUCACCGUGUUGCCCAGGCUGGUCUUGAACUCCUGACCUCAAGCAAUCUGCCUUGGCCUCCCAAAGUGCUGGGAUUACAGGUGUGAGCCACCACAUCCAGCAGAAGGUCAUUCUUCACCUAUCAAAAUGGCAAAGAUAUUUUAAAAAGAAAAGAUAAAAAUUGGCAAAGUUCAGGGAAAUUGCUGAUGUGUAAGUGAUUGUGUGAAACUGUUCUGAAGGGUUACAUGAAAUACAUAUUCAAAGCCUUCAACGUGUGCCUACUAUUUGACCUAAAUAUCUCAUUUAAUAUUUUUCCAAAGAAAAUAAUUUAAGGGUCAAAUGUUUUAGAGUAUUUAGGAUAUUUACUGCAACAUUGUUUAUAAUAGCAAAAAAGAAAUACUAGAAAAAGCUUCACUGUACAGCAACAAAUGGUUAAAUAUAUAAUGUAUAAUCUAUACAAUAGCAUGCAGUAGGUCUCUUAACUCCACUUAACACACACACAAAAAUACUUUCCACCUAAUUCUGAGGCAGAGCCAAGUUUGUGAACACUAAUGUAGAACCCACAAUAAAUAUUGCUUCCUUCUUGGGAGGACUUUUUUCAGAGAUUAUUUUUUCUUCUAAGUUACCUUCCUGUCAAAAAAGGAACGGUCUUGGCUACAGAUUUUUUUUUUUUUUUUUUUUUG